GAUCUCCUACGGGACGCAGCAGUGGGGGAUAUUGCACAAUGGGGGGAACCCUGAUGCAGCGACGCCGCGUGGGUGAAGAAGCGCCUCGGCGCGUAAAGCCCUGUCAGCAGGGAAGAAAAUGACGGUACCUGAAGAAGAAGCCCCGGCUAACUACGUGCCAGCAGCCGCGGUAAUACGUAGGGGGCAAGCGUUAUCCGGAUUUACUGGGUGUAAAGGGGGCGCAGACGGCGAUGCAAGCCAGGAGUGAAAGCCCGCGGCCCAACCCCGGGACUGCUCUUGGAACUCCGUGGCUGGAGUGCCGGAGG
rnacentral:rRNA from 1 species